UGACCCUCAAACCUUUCUUGGCGGAUGGACUCAUCAAAAUAUUUCUCACUGUACAUGGUACGGUGUCACUUGCUCCAUCAAAGGAGCUCGAGUCCGGUCACUUAGCCUUUCUGGCCUCGGCCUUUCUGGUCCCAUACCCUCUCAUCUCUCAAACCUUAGUUCACUCUUUAUGCUUGACCUUGCCAAUAAUUCAUUUUAUGGCCAGAUUCCAUCUGAGCUUAGUCGUCUCUCCCACCUUCAAUAUGUUUUCCUUGAAAUGAAUUCCAUCAAUGGCACCAUCCCUGUUCUUCUUUCUCAGUGUCAUAACCUUAAGACGAUCCGUUUAAAUGAGAACCAACUUACUGGUAACAUUCCUUCUCAACUAGGUUAUCUGCAAAGACUUGAAGUUCUCCACUUGUCUAUCAAUAACCUCACUGGUGCUAUCCCGGCAACAUUUGGAAAUCUAACCUCUCUCACGAACCUUUCCAUCUCAAGAAAUCAGCUUCUUGGUGAAAUUCCUAGUGAGCUGGGUCGUCUUCGUAACAUUCGUGAGUUUCAUGUAUCCGAGAAUCAGCUUAGUGGAGAGAUUCCAUAUUCUAUUUGGAAUAUUUCUUCUGUGGUCUUCUUGUCUCUAACACGCAACAACCUUACAGGAAAGCUACCGAGUGAUAUGGGUUCUGCUCUUCCAAAUCUCAGGGUGCUUUACUUGGCACGAAACAGGCUUGAAGGAAUAUUGCCCAGUUCCUUAUCCAAUGCCUCACGUAUUCAAUUUCUGGAUCUCUCUUCCAAUGGUUUUCAUGGGCCAAUUCCCCUGUUUGGAGGGAUGAAAGAUCUUCUUCGUUUAAUUAUUGGGAAUAAUUUUUUUCAUUCUACUACAAAGCUUAAUUUCCAGCUAAUUGAUUCUCUCAAAAACUGUACUCGGCUGCAGUAUCUCAUGAUCUUUUCCAACCAGUUGGCUGGUCAACUUCCAAGUUCCGUAGCAAAUCUGUCGACCCAUCUGCAACAGUUUUGUUUUUCUGAUAAUUUAUUGACUGGAAGCUUCCCUCAAGGUAUCGAAAGGUUUCAAGAACUCGUGUCCCUAUCGAUAGAAAAAAAUUCUUUUGUUGGUGAUAUACCAGAAACCAUAGGUAGGCUUAAGAAAAUACAGAAUUUUGCAGCAUACGACAAUAUGUUCUCAGGCGAAAUUCCGGAUAUAUUUGGCAAUUUUACGCAACUCGCUUCUCUAAGGAUAGGAGGAAACCAGUUUUUUGGUAGAAUACCCACUAGCAUCAGAUCUUGCCAGCAAUUGAAUACACUAGAUCUAGCUGCGAAUAUGCUCAAUGCAAGCAUACCAAAGGAGAUUUAUGGGCUUUCCACAUUAGUCAGGUUGAAUUUGCGACAAAAUGCUUUAUCCGGUCCUUUACCUGCAGAAGUUGGUAACUUGAAACAGAUGCAAUUCAUGGAUGUUUCUGACAACCAGUUGUCAGGAAACAUUGCCUCAACAAUUGCUAGCUGUUCAAGCUUGCAACGUCUCUUCAUGGCUGGAAACAACUUCACAGGUUCCAUCCCAAGCACAAUCGGACAAUUAGCAUCUCUCGAGGCCUUGGAUCUCUCUUCAAAUAGACUCACUGGUACAAUCCCUGAAGAGCUAGGACAACUUCAGUAUUUAGUCCAGCUUAACCUGUCCUUCAAUCAUUUGGAAGGUGCAGUUCCAAUGACCGGUGUCUUCAUGAACAUCAGCCAGGAUAAUCUCAAAGGAAACGACAGGCUUUGCCAUGAUAAUCAAACAACAGCAGAAAAAUUGGGACUCCCUCAAUGCACUGCGAAGAGAAGAACCAGGCAUCUUCUGUUGAAGGUCAUACUUCCUGUUGCUAUUGUCGCUUGCUUAAUGAUUAUGUUUUUGUGCUUUGCAUGCAAAGUUAUAUACUGGAAAAAGCAAAAGACGAAGAGAGGCAAAGGAAGGUUGUCCUCUCCUCUAAAGGGGUUGCCUCCAAAGAUAUCUUACUUUGAUAUCCGGCUAGCGACAGACAACUUUUCAAUGGAAAAUUUGAUAGGGAAGGGUGGAUUUGGUUCCGUUUACAAAGGCGUCAUCAGAAAUGUUGAAGAUGGAUCCUCCACUGGAGAAACCAUCCUUGCUGUAAAAGUCCUGGACUUACAACAAAGUAAAGCUGCACGGAGUUUUGCAGCAGAAUGUGAAGCACUGAGGAGUGUAAGGCACAGGAACCUUGUGAAGGUUAUCACUUCUUGCUCUAGCAUUGACCUUAAUGGAGAAGAAUUCAAAGCUUUGGUUAUGGAAUUCAUGUCCCAUGGUAACUUAGAUAAGUGGUUGUAUCAAGAAGAUGAUGAAGAAUCUGGUUUAUACCUAACGUUAUCGCAAAGACUGAAUAUUGCAGUAGAUGUGGCUUCUGCCAUUGAUUACUUGCACCAUGACUGUGAUCCGCCAGUAGUUCAUUGUGAUCUGAAACCUGGAAAUGUGCUAUUAGACGAUGAUAUGGUGGCUCAUGUUGGUGAUUUUGGAUUGGCAAGGUUGCUUCCUCAAAAUCCAUCAGGGAACGACAGUAGCACAAUAGGACUCAAGGGCUCAAUUGGUUACAUAGCUCCAGAGUACGGUCUGGGUGGCAAACCUUCAACCUCCGGGGAUGUCUACAGUUUUGGGAUCCUGCUACUCGAGAUGUUUAUAGCAAAGAAGCCCACUAACGAAAUGUUCAAAGAAGGUUUAAGCUUGAAUAAUUUUGCGACGGCAGUAAAUGAGAAUCAUGUCAUGGAGAUUGCCGAUCCAAGGCUUUUCAAGAACAAUUGGUACAAUUCAUUGCAAAGAACAGACAUUGGUUAUUCUAAUGAUGGCUCCAGCGGAAAUAGCAAUACAAGUAGUGGCAGUACUAUUUAUUCGCUAGACAAAAGCCGAGAGUUGGUAGCUGCUGCUAUAAGAGUUGGUUUGUCAUGUGCAGCUUCUUCGGCGAGAGAUCGUUUAUCCAUGAGAGAAGCCUUAGCGAUGCUGCAAAAGAUCAAGAAAGCAAUGCCCCAGACCUGAGAAAGUGCUUUGCGUAAUAAAUUGUAUUAAUCGAAUCCAACCGAAGUAGGAGUUGAACCCAGUUGAAGUGAAAGUUUAGUUUGAUUAUUUAUGUUCUUUUUUUUUUUUUGAAAACUUUGAUUUUUUAUAUUCUUAUUCUUCGGGCCUAUUAAAUUUCAUAAAUUAUGCAUUGUAUUCCAUAAAGUUGAUAAAAUCAACAAAAA
rnacentral:misc_RNA from 1 species